rnacentral:rRNA from 1 species
AUGUAUCCAACAACAAAUCACUACAUGGAUCCAUACUCCUCAUACUACAGGCAUCAUUCUCCCUAUCCAUAUCACCCCCCUCCUGGCUGGGAAGCUGGGCACCAGCACAUGCCUGAACCGGACUGCUCGCCAUGUCGGCCACCAUAUCCAUAUGGCCCUUGGCCGUACAGUGGUACCAUGAAUCACUCAGGCCUUCCAGAGUCCCACUCCCAUAGCUGCUGCAGCCACACAUACCCUCCUGGUUACUACAGUUUCAGACCCCCAUUGCCCCAAGAACUUCCACCACCACCUCCUCUAUACUACCAUGGUCCAUUUCCACCGCAUCAUCAUCUGAACCCCUACUCGCCAUCAUACUUUGGCCCACUCCCACCAUGUCAUCCUGUCGAUCAAACACCAUAUAGUGGUUAUGACAAGUUCAAGAGCCAUUGCUGUGGGUGUCCGAACCAUGUGUGCCAUGGAGAUGGAGGGCAGAAGAGCAACGUGAAAAUCGAAGAACAUGUGCCUGAAGUGAAGGAUGACAGUAAACAGAAGGAUGCAGACAAUUCCAGAAUAAUUCGCAACCCAAACUACCAGUACCCGGUGAUGUGGCUACCGUCCGGUGACAUGAAAGACAACAAGGCUAAUGAUGGAAGAAGCUUAGAGUUUCCACCUCAGCUCUUCAGCAAGUGGUUUCCUCAGAGUGGAGAGAGGGCAGAGGAUGUCAAGCCAGCCGAUGACAGUCAGAAGGCGAAACAACUUCAGUGGCCAAUGGUUUGGAUGCCACCAGGAUAUGGCGUUGAGACCAAACCAGAAGCUAAAAAAGAGCUGAAGGAGAUCGAGCAGAGUCCAAAGAGCACGCAAGAAGAUCCACCUUCGCCUAAGAUCAAGAUCAUUCCCUUGUCAUGGUUUGGAAAUGAUAGUCAUGAUCAGAAGCCUGAUGCUAGGGAUGGCUCUGGAGAACAAAAUGGAAGACCAUCAGCGGAGAACCAGCCUGCAGGCACUGAGCAUCGGCAUGACAUGACAGUGGAUGGAAACUGUAAGACCAUCCCAGUUGUGCCGAAGAAACCAAACAUUGGGAAUGAACAUGCUAUUUCAGUUGUGCCGGAGAAACCAAAGAGUGGGAAUGAACCUGCUACUAUUUCCGUUGUGCCGGAGAAGCAGGAUGUUGAGAAGAAGGUUCGUACCUGCAGGACCAUCCCGGUUAUGCCUCAGAAAGAGAGUGAUGAGAAGAAAUCCUCCAUGGCUGGAAACAAAGAGGAAAAGAAGGCCAUCAUGGUUCAGAAGGAGGGAGAAAGUAAGAAAAGCAACAAUGUUGAAGCAUCAAAGGCUAAGCCUUCAAAACUACCCCCAGUAUGCUUGCGAGUGGAUCCUUUGCCAAAGAAGAAAUCAGGAAACACAUCUUCAAGGUCAUCCAACCCAGCAACGAGGAAGGUAUCUGAAAAAGACAAGGAUGUUAAAGAGGCCCAAGGCAAGAACCAGGAGACAAAGCAAUCAGAACAUCAGAAAGAGGGUAAGAUGUCGAUUAAAGAGAAAUCAUCUGAUGAUGUUGCCAAAAGUACAGGGCCUAGGAAUGUAACAAUGGUAGAUGCUUCAGUGAAGCACGCGCAAGAGGAACAAGUUUCCACAACUGUGACUGAUCAGAAGGCGCAACCUACCGUCAGUGCUGAAGCACAAGAAGAAAGUGUCAGUGCAAGUAGCUUGCAGGAGUGUGACAAAAACAGAAAGGAGGAUGAGUUGAAGAUCGGAGGUGAAGCUCCAAAUUUAGCCUGUGAAAUAAAGUUAUCAGAACCAGAUGCCUGUGAAAUAAAGUUAUCAGAACCAGAUGCCGCUGUUCGUAUUCAGUCUGCAUACAGAGGGUACCAUGUACGAAGAUGGCAGCCUUUGGAGAAACUACGGAAGAUCAAGAAUGUACAUAAACAGAUGCAAGAUGUGGAAAAGCAGCUGCAAGCCCUUGAAGCUUCUUCAAAGCAGCCGACAGAGAAAGAGCACAUCGCUAUGAAUGAGACCAUCAUGAGUUUACUUCUGAACCUUGACACCAUUCAGAACUUGCAUCCAGCUGUGAGGGAGGCUAGGAAGUCUGUCGCUCGACAGCUAGUUUGUUUGCAAGAGAAGCUCGAUUCUUUGUGCAAGAGAAGCUCGACAGCUAAGAGUGAGGAAGCAAGUCCCACAGGAGUGGAUGGAGAACAAUUGCCUUCUUCAGUUAACUCCAACGAGCCUGUGCACGAUGAAGUUUCAUCGGAAGUUGCCUUGAAGUUGAGUCAAGAUGGAGAUUCUACUGAACAGAAGCAUCAAAUGGAAGAACCAAGUACUACAAAAGAAGAAGCUCAAGAGGAAGGGAAAGCUGCAGCAGCUGGUGAAUGUCAAAGAGUACCACCGACAGAUGUGAUGCAUGAUGCAGCUUUGUCGGGACUUGUCACUGAGAAGAAGCACGAAAUGGAAGAGCCAGACAUAUUGAGGGAAGAAUGUACUGAAGAAGUGAAAGCCGCAGCGAAGAGUGAAGGAUCUGCGGAGCAAAACUGCCACCCUGAAGAAUCAGAUCAAGGCGUUUCUUUUACAACUGAGGAUGGUAAAACUGCAAUGACUAAAGCAUGUAUGGACAGUGCAGUUGAUGCUGCCAAUCAGGACGGUUCGGCAGAAGGAGGUCAGGUGCAGGAAUCUGCUCCCGUUGGUAUCUCGUGGCUGAAACAUGAUGCUGCCCCUGCUGAAGAUCAGUUCAAAGAACCAGGUGCUCCAUCCCUUCAUCUGGAGGAUUCUUCUGUGUCUUCAAAAGCUGCAGAUCCACAUGAAAAUGAUCCAGCCCUGGCAGAUGACUCCAUAGUAAUCAUCACUCCAGCAGACCAACAAGAAGAGUCCGUUGAUGCCGACUUGAAGAAAGAAGUUGCAGAGACCAUGGUUGAUUCAGACAAAGAACCAAAUGGAACGCCAACGCGUCCUGUUGGCGAUGCCGCUAACAUGGCCUACGUUCCCGGUGCAAAUGCAGAGACCACAAAGCAAGAAAAACUUGGUUUGGUAGGACCAGAAGCGACAAGACAAUGUGAGGUUUCUCACAUGGACGAUUCAGCACUUGUGGAGCAGCAAAAUGAAGGUGGCUCUGCCAUGGAAAAUACUAUGAAUGAUGAUGAAAUUGGAGAGGAGCCUGAAGCCAUAGCAUCGGAAAGCAGAGUCGAUGCCAUUGUAGAGGAGACUGAAGCUGUACCAUUGGGAAUCGAUGACAAGACCACUGAAAAUACUCUAAAUGGUGCCACUGGAGAGGAGGCGGAGAGCAGAGACAAAACCAUGGAAAAUACUCUGAAUGCUGUAAUUGGAGAGGAGCCUGAAGCUGUACCACUGGAAGUCCAAGGCAAGACCACUGAAAAUACUCUGGAUGAUGCAGUUGGAGUGGAGCCUGAAACUGUACCACUGGAAAGCAGAGUCGAGACCAUGGAAAACACACUGAACGAUGCAGGAUGUCCGAGUAAAACGAGUGCUGAACCUGCCCUGCCUGAAAGUACAAGCGACGGAGCAUCAUGUGAAGACGGCGGUGCCACGGUGUACGCCAAUCCUGACUCCAAGGUGUCUUCGGAGAGCCAUGGUGGUGAGCAAAAGGAGCAGGAUGAUGAUGGAGGUAAAGCAGAUGUUUCUGAAUCAACCGAGGGCGAUGCCACCGUGCCUGCCGAAACUCUAGCAACAGGAGCGAAUUCUGCAGCGCCUGUACCAGAAGCGGGCAAGCCGGAAGAAGGUGCUGAAGGAGCACCUCCAGAGGUAGAAGAAGCGGCCGAGGGCGGCGACGAUGAGAAGAACAAGGGCUUGGACGACGAGAACCAGAAGCUGAAGGAGAUGCUGCAGAAGCUCCUCGCCUCCGGCGACGACCAGAUGGGGGUCAUCGCGGAGCUGAGCGACAAGGUGAGGUCGCUGGAGAGGAAGCUCGCGGUGCACAAGAGGAGGAGGAGGCCCAAGGUGAGGGUGCAGCAACGUCCACUGAAGAAUGACCACGCUUGA